rnacentral:misc_RNA from 1 species
GCGCGGCAAGACGUGCAGCAGUGAUUUUUUUUUCGCUCGUGGGUGUGACGCGCAGGCAAGGGAGCUAUGGCGAGACGUUCAGUGUUGAUCAGUGAAAGAGAUGGGAGUCGGCGAGAUCGACAGCGGGGGAUUCGCACUCGGCGAAGGAAGUUGGAGGCUAGAGGACCGGCAGCAGGUGACCCAAGGGGAAGGGAGUCAAGAACAACAGCCGGGAAAGGUGCCUCUGCACCCGCCGGGUAUCUCGCCGUUCUUCUACUCUGGAGAUUCACUGUCGCAGCCCCCGCCCGCCCACAUGGGUAUACCGUCGUACCCGCUGGAUCCCAAACCAGGGAUGGCGCGGGCUCCGGUGUACCCGUUCACACCAGUCUCCUCCCACUGCGCGUACCCGCCAUUAGGCGCGCCCGACCUGCCGCCGUGGAAUUCUCCGGCGCUCUACCCCUCCACCUCUGGCGCGUUUCGGUCAGCCUACUCUGGCCUGCCCUCCAGUCUACACAGGUUUUCUCCUGGCCUGCUGCCUCACAGUUUACCGCCCCACCUGCUCCACCCCGAGUACCUCAAACACAACGGAGACAACCGGCAUAACGCGGACGUGAAACCGGUCAUAUCUGCACCACCCCCCGGCUCCGGCUCCAAACAGCAGCAAACCAAUGGUCAGGAGCCGGUGUCUGACGCUGCCCGCCUGUGCCGAGCAGAGAAGAAGAAGUGUCACAUCAAGAAGCCUCUGAACGCCUUCAUGCUGUACAUGAAGGAGAUGCGAGCCAAAGUGGUAGCCGAAUGCACUCUGAAGGAAUCGGCAGCCAUCAACCAGAUCCUCGGCAGACGGUGGCACGCGCUCAACCGUGACGAACAGUCCAAAUACUACGAAAUGGCGCGAAAGGAGCGCCAGCUACACAUGCAAAUGUACCCGGGCUGGUCGGCGCGGGAUAAUUAUGCCCAGUCUAAGAAGAAGAAGCGUAAAAGGGAUAAGGUGGACGGAGGUGAGUUAGAAGCCCAGAUGAAGAAGUGCCGGGCCCGAUACGGUCUGGAGCAGCAGGACCAGUGGUGCAAACCGUGCAGGCGGAAAAAGAAGUGCAUACGCUACAUGGAGGACGGCGAGGGAGGAGGCGAGGACGGCGAUGGUGACGGAGAGGACGCCACAGACGACGAGGACGGCAUGGAUUCCUCCGGAAAUGGCGACGACGCCCAGACGCCCAACUCGGGGUCGACGGACGACCAAGCGGCCACCAACUCACCCUCGGUGUCAAUGUCGAGUCUGGCCAGUCCCGGGUACUCAGUGACCUCGCUGCUCAGUCCCAGCCCCAUGGCGCCCAGUCCAAAGACGCCAGGAGGGGUCAUGGUGAACGGUGUCGGCGACGCGGCGGCGGCGGCGGCGGCGGCGCCCGUCACCUCGGCCGGCUCGGGCGGGUCGUCGGUACCGUCACCGGCGUUCCAGCAGCCGCGCACGCCGGUGGGAGCCAACCCGCGAGACGUCAACAACCCCCUGUCGGUGGGCCAGCUGACCAACAGCUCACCGCGCCCCUGCCAGCCGCUGGGCGGGCCCGCCGGCGCGCCGCGCACCGGCCAGCCGCCAGCCGCCUCUUGCGUGAGCGUCACGUGACCUGCGGAGCCGCCGCGCGCCGCCGCCUAGCGUCGGUCACGUGACACCCACUGUGCCAUAUGUAGGUGUAACGCCAGUGCCGAAUCCAGGUGCAAUUGCUGCCGAGGCGCCCCCUGCCGCCGCUGGCCGCAGAGGUGCUGCCAGAGUGGCGCGCUCUUCGGCGCCCUAAGUGUACCCCGCUUCCUGAUUGUGCUUACAGAAUGUGAUAUUGCUUGAGCCCACGUGACGCGGUGGUUCUGGCGCCGCCGCUCUGGUGGACUGGCGAGCGCGCGCCGGCGCCGACGGCGCCCGUUGUUUUGCUCAGUGCGUGUGUGCGCCGGUCGGGCGGCGGGCGCCGACUCGGGGCGCCCUGCGGGGGCGCCGGCGCCCGUCACAAACCGAUCGAGAUGUUAUAUUUUGGUAUCGCGCGCUUUCAUUGGAGCCGGAAGGUGCGGCCUGUUCUGUUGAUAGCGCAAGGCUCGAAGUAGAUACCAUGUUGGAGACAGGUCCUGGCCGUUUAGUUUUGCGACUCCCUAAAAUGCGCCCGAAACUUUACCUCAUUUCAGCUUAACAUCCAUUCCAUAUUGACUUGUAAAUAGAGGAUUUUUAUGGUGAAUCAUAGUGUACAUUGUGUGUGUGUGUGUGUGUGUGUGUGUUUGUGUGUGAGAGAAUGUGUAGGGCGUGUCUCAUCCGUAAUGGGGGUUUUGUUUGUGAUUGCUUGGUAAGAGUCCUUGUGUCAUAGCGGCGUAACUAAUGCUUCUCAUAGUGGCCGAGAGAUGGCGGGCGCAGCGCGCCGACCGGUCACGCUGUCACGUGACUCGGGCACGGACGCGUUUUAUUGGGUGUUUCUGUUUUGCUACCUGCAUUGUGGCGCUGUUCAUGUACAAAAUUCAGAGAAGACUGAGUGCUGGACGGACUAUUCUUGUAUUCUGUACGGGCAUCGCACUUUUGACAUCUGUUAUCAGACCUCUCACCGAUAGCCCGCGUAUUCGUUCUGGUGGCCACGCCCGAAAGUGCAUCGAGAUUGUAGGCACGUGUAGAGCGAUUUUUCUGAGCUUCAAGAGUGUCACUUGGUUAGCUGUUGCUGGAUAGUGAUCAUGUUUCGCCAGAUUGGCAUUUCAAGAAAAUGUAUGACGUUUUUUAUGUUUGGUUUGUCGCAAUGUGCUCACCACGAGAUUUGGGGAUUAUCUGGAGAGUUUCAAUCGUGCAGUUGUCAAACUUAAAAGUUCUCGGGAAGUUUGACAGUUUUCCCAUUGUCAGCAUAUUCGGUACUAGGUCGCUGCUGUGUUACCUGAGCUUGUUUGCGAGUGGCUGUUACGAACAGGAACCCAGUAGGAAGAAACUUACGCCUCUUCAUUUUCAGGAUAAUGCGUGCUAUAUUUUACCUAAAUUACUGCAAUAUUAAUAGUAUCGUUGACAACGUAAAAUCGAAUGGUAUCAGACUACUGAAAUUUAUAGACCGAAAAGUGUCUAUGGUCUGCGGACAAAAGUGCCAAAUGUCUUCACGGAGUGGGAUGUGUAAUACCUGAGCGUUCGCCCGUUUUACUAUAGGGCCAUUUCAACGAUACAAUGACAUUCGAAAUCAGUAGACAUCACAUCACCGAAUCACGUCAUCGGAACGUAGUGACAUCAUGCGAGCUACGUCAUUGUUCUAUCGUAUAUGACGUCAUUUGUGGGGCCGAUGACGUCACUCUUGACAAUCAAUUUUGGAGGCAAUAGUGGUGCACAUGGCGCCCCUUCGAACGGCGGCUCCUGCAGAUGUGACGUCACGUGAGUGUAGGUGUGUGCGUGACGUCAUACCGCGCGCGUGUGUGACGUCAUAUGGUGUGUGGUGACGUCAUUACUGGUUUGUAACGAUCUCCCGGCGAGGGCAUGCUGAUGAAUGCUUGUGGUGCAGAGAAAUACAGUGUUUACAUACGA